UACGGGGGGAGCAAGCGUUGUUCGGAUUUACUGGGCGUAAAGGGCGCGUAGGCGGCCACGACAAGUCACUUGUGAAAUCUCCGGGCUUAACUCGGAACGGUCAAGUGAUACUGUCGGGCUAGAGUGCAGAAGGGGCAACUGGAAUUCUCGGUGUAGCGGUGAAAUGCGUAGAUAUCGAGAGGAACACCUGCGGCGAAGGCGGGUUGCUGGGCUGACACUGACGCUGAGGCGCGAAAGCCAGGGGAGCAAACGGG
rnacentral:rRNA from 1 species